GUGGUGCUGGACUGCGUCGCUGGGCUUCGGAGACAGCUGAGCUACCGGGACCUCACGCGGCUGAGUUGGAAGGUCGGGCAAGGCAGGCAUGGAAGAAAUUUGGUGUAGGUCUGAGUGGCCACGGUCAUCGGACAAAUAGAUAAGUCCAAACGGGCAAGAGGAAGGAAGUGGAGCCUGAGCCUGAAUCAAGGAACUAUUCUCAAAGGAGACGUGAACCCAGAGGAAGACUCACAUGAUCCUAAACGGCGCAAAGGGAGCUAUCGCUGUCUCACAGUCCUAUUCAUGUAAUUCACAGACAAUAUAUUAACUCAUUACAAAUCCCUCACCCUCACUACCACUAGGAGCAACAGCGCACAGAGGUGAGCUGUCUCACCAAAAAGUGGCAAAGGAAGGAAUCAACAGGAAUUGCUCUUCAGUAUCGACUACUGGUUAGCCAGAGAUCAAAGGUCAUGGAAAUGUCAACUACCCAUCCUUUCAGCCAGGGUCUAGGGUGCAUGGCCUACCGAGUACAAAGGAGAGAAAAUGGAUAUAAAAUACACAGAAGAAAAAGGCUCACAUAUUUCUUGCAUUCCAUUCCCAAAACGCCCAUCAAAGGGGCCUUUCUUUCACUGAUGAGAAUAACACCUUUCCUGCCUUUUCACCCCUCACCCCCUCCUCCUUCCUAUUGUCACAUGUAUCUGUUACCAGGAAGUAAUUGUGAUUAAGGCUAAUCUUCCUGAUACAAGAAUAAACAAAGCUUCCCUCUGUUGCUGUCGGCCAGGUGAACAGAAAUGAUCUAAUAACAGAGAAAUUAAUUUGUGCACACAUGAUGCAGGAAAUUACCUGCUGGAAGAAUGAACCUGGAAUUAUCUCAGGACACAAAGUCUGGAAACACUGGCUCAUUAAACACUGUGCACAAAUGCAAUAUAUUGUGAACACAGCAAUAACAUUUGUAGCCUUUGUUUAUUUAGAUAAUUUGCCUGUGUACUUCUCAUAAAUGGUUACGACAAUGCUAUAAAGGACUAUUAGCAUAAUUAGCUUUAUAUGACACAAGUAUUCCAACGAUCCUUGAUUUACAACUGGUAGCAUGGUGCCUCCUGUGAGUUACUUGGUGCAGUAGAACUGUAUUUAGUUCUAAGCACUGCACCUCAGGAAGGGUAUAUUGACCUUGGUGGGUGUGCAGCACAAAUAUACCAGACUAAUAUCAGGACUAAAAGGGUUAGUUUAUUAGAAUAGGUUGCCUAGAUUAGGUAUUACUUUGAAUAAAGAAGAUUAAGGGGUGAUUUAAUUGAGGUGUUUAAGAUGAUUAAAGGAUUUGGUAGGGUUGAUGGAGAGAAACUAUUUCUUCUGUUGAGGGACUCCAGGACAAGGGGCAUAACUUUUAAUUAGAGCCAGGCCACUCAGGGAUGAUGCAGGAAACAUUUCACACAGUAGUGGAAAUCUGGAACUCUCUCCCCCAAAACACAGAAAGUAAUUUCAAAACUGAGAUUAAUAGAUUUAUAUACAGCAAGGGUAUUAAGGGAUAUGGAACCAAGGCGGUUAGAUGGAAUUAAGGUAUAGGUCAGCCAUGAUCGAAUUGGAUGGCAGAACAAGCUUAAGGGGCUGAAUGGCUUCCUCCUAUUCCUAUGUUCCUAGAGCCCAUGGAAACGUUAAGACAACAAGGAGCUACUGCGUAGAACCCUCACUUGUCAGUUUUCUCACCUCAGCUGAGUUGCCCCUAGGAGGUGGUUUCAUGGGCAUUAUUCAUCCAUUGGUAACCUUACCCUAAUGACCAUUAUUUACUGUGAGCCUUAACAGUGAAUGUUGACAAGCUUUUUACCAUAGGGUCAACACAACCACAGCCUAUCAUGUCUAACCUUAUGUCUGCACCUGAUUAUUCCCUUCCAAAUUCAUGAACAGAGAAGCUUUUGUUAGUUUUUCUAUCAACAAACCAGCUCAGAUUAACUAUUCCUGUACAGAGGGGUUAAACAUGUGGUCUUUGUGAAUGACUUAGCUGCUCAUGGAUUAAAUAUUAUCAAAAGAAUCCAUGGCCCUCAUUUCCGUAACCAACAUGCACCUUCAGCCUGAUGACACUCAGUGGAGCAUAUUCCACAAACCACUGUUUUUGCUCCUGUACUCACAGUGGCACCAAGAUUGGAAAUAAAAUGCUGCAGAUAGCACCUAAUGUUAAAUAAUACAAUAAGGGGGUAACACAACCCAGAGUUCAAAUCUAACCAUGGCAAUUUAUGAAGCUGAAUUCAAUAAAUCUGGUAAAGUAUAAUAUAGCAGCAGAAAAUAACCAUUACAAAGCUGCUGAAUUGUCAUAAAAACCCAACUGGUUCACUUAUGUUAACUUGCCAGCCCUACAUGCAACUCCAUUCCCACUCUUACAUGGUUAACUAUUAAUAUUUAAUGUGGGAAAUAGAUUCUGCCUUGCUUACGUCAUGCGCAUUUCAAGAGAAAGUAAAAAGAAACUAAAUCAAAGCAGCAACUUCAAUACUGUCAAUAUUGUUUGAAAGCCUGAAAACAUCAGUCACAAAUUUUGCCUCAUCUUUUUCCCCCAUAAAUUUCACUAAACAUUUCAGCUGUUACAAUAAUCCAAAUAACAGAUUGCCUUAACUCUUUUAAGACCAGGCGUCACUUUAGCAACAUGCCAAAUUACAAUUCAACACAACUGAUAUUUAUAAUUUGCCACAAAUAUGUAGCAGAUCUCCCACAUCAUUGCUCAAACUUUAAACAGACAAGAUAAUUGGAAGCUAUACAAAAGGAAGGAAAAACUUUCACUUUAAUGAAAUGGAACUGAAGUACAGUAGCUCCUGUCUCACAUGAUCCUCAUUGAUAUAAUCCAGCUCCCCUGCCCAACAUUCCUCUAACACAAAUUAAAUGGUCAUUGACCUCAUUGCUGUGUGAGAAAUGGGUGCCAUGUUUACCCAUUGCAUAACUGCAAUUCAACAAGUGUGUGAAGCACUCUGGAAUGUAUCAGAGAGAUAUGAUGAGGUGCUAUAUAAAUGCCAAUUCUUUCUAGUGUAUGGAAAUCAGAGUGUACAGAAGCAUACAGAAGCUUGGGACAUUCCUAUCAAACUCCUCAGUUCUCUACUUAUCACACGUGUUAAAAACUUCAAAAUAAACAGGUUACCAUUCCAUUAGGACAAAUGAAGUAAUUCAAUCUGAACACAUCAGGUGUUGUAUGAUAUUAUCAGACUGCUCAGCUCCUAAUGUCAGUUCUUUGGUAUAUUCAUCAUAUUAUUUAAGUAUAAAAUAACUGAUUCAAAUCAUAGAAAACUACACAAUUGUACAAUAUCUUAACUCAUUUUGGAUCAAGAUCCAACCUUGAUUCCACCUCACAAUGUUUGUCACUUAAGUCCUUUUGUACAAGCCUUCUAAAUAUUAUUACUGACCAUUUUUGAGACACCAACAAUCCUAAGUGUGCACUUUAUCCUUUCUGGUGCAUAAAUCUUUACACACAGACAUAAAGAUAAAUAAAAAGAAAAAAUGAAUGCAUUCCUCACAACAGUCCAGAAAGGCCCGCACGUUGGCACUGGUAUCAUUUGUGAUGAGCAUUUCGAGUAGUCUGUUUUUAUUUCAGAUUUCCAGGAUCCACGGUAUUUAGCUUUUGUUUUACUGACUGAAUAUUGUAUUGAUUAUUUUAAGGAUUGAUAAAUUGAAUAUGGUACUGAAUGAAAUACAACAAUGAAAUGUUAUAACUUAGGUGUCAAAAUGUACAUCACACUGUUGGCAUUGCUCUAAUCAGAAUGUUUACAAUACAUCUCUCAACAAAUAUCACACAUCAAUCCAUUGCAAAAUAAAUGUCAGUGGGCAUUUGAUUGCUGAAAUCAGGUUUGCAAGCACUUGCAGAUCAGAACUGAACACCCAGAUCAAAUCAAAAGUGUACUCAGGACUGUCUUAGGUUUAUUCUAGCUGUUUUAAAGACAAGUUGAUAACUAUAGUUAUUAAAUAAAUACAGUUGUAAAGUUGCAAUUAAUUAAAACUUGUCAAUGAAUGUUUGC